CCUGACCUCCUGCCUCCUACCUCCCCAUUUAUCUUCUUCCUACCCUCCUCUCUCUCUCUCUCUCUCUCUGUCUCAAGGAACCACUUCCUCGCCUACCUCCUCUUCUUUCACCCAUGUUUGAGUUUGGGGACGACCUUACAAUAGAAGGGUAUCGAGUCUCAUGGCUAAUAUGGAUCCAAGUACUGGUCUUGCUCCUCCUCGUCUUGCUCCUUUUUUGUUUCAGCUUCUUUACUGCAGAUCUCACAGACACCACCACUACUUCCUCCUCCGCCUCACCAUCCACUCUUGGUGUUUUCACGCCCCUUCAUUGCCAUUUGGACAACCAAAUCCUCAGGCAUAAUGAUCAUGUCUCAAACCGCCUGCAACACAGCCAGGCACAGCAGAACCAAAGCAUAAAAGGGGAAAUAACAACAAACACGGGUAGAAGAAUAGUUAGUGAAGACAACAUCGGAAAUUCUUCUGACUUCUUCUGUUUCCAUCCCUGCAACUAUUUUAGGCUUGCGAAACUUGCAUUUCUCAAGUGUUUCGGCUUGGACUUCUUGUCGGAUAAUUCUUAAAACUCAGAGCAGAAAAAAGAAAGAUGACGUAUGUUAUUGUGUUUCUCUUUAACCUAUCACUUUGAGUUCAUCUAUCCAGCUUUUCGGAAGUUGUUGUGCAGGAGACGAACCUCCCCGGAGGGAAAGUUGUACAGGAAAUUCUCCACUACAGUUUUUAAAGCAAAGGUUGAACUUAGAACCAUUGAUCCCAGGGAAUGGAGAUCAGGUUGCAGGUUGUUCUUCUGGUGUAUGCUGGUAAAAUCAUGGAAGGUGAGACCGCUGUGUUUUCAGGCUGUUUCAAUCAGCAGAUUAGAGGCUGAAAUAUGUGGCCGUGAAAAUGUUGAUUGGAGCAAAGCUGAUUACCCAGUAACUUACAUGUGUUUUGACACUGAUCUUGCAAUUGUGUUAGAAGGGUAAACUGCAUUCUUUGUCUCUAAUGAACUGCAUUGUUAGGCUGUGAGCAGUUCAAUAAACUCUGCAGCGUAUUUCCCUUUAGAACAGUUUAGAAUAGAAUGAUGAAGCUCCUGUAACAACUUUCAAGGCCAAGGCCUUAUAAAAAAUUAAAAAACUUGAUUUUACGGUA